rnacentral:rRNA from 1 species
GAUGAACGCUGGCGGCGUGCCUAAUACAUGCAAGUCGAACGCAUCCCGUUAAAUGAAGUGCUUUCACGGAUUUUAACAUUGGAUGAGUGGCGAACUGGUGAGUAACACGUGGGUAACCUGCCCAGAAGCAGGGGAUAACACUUGGAAACAGGUGCUAAUACCGUAUAACAACAAAAACCGCAUGGCUUUUGCUUGAAAGGUGGUUUCGGCUAUCACUUCUGGAUGGACCCGCGGCGUA